rnacentral:lncRNA from 1 species
AGAUGAGCAUGUCCCUGUGGGUAUGUAGGAGAGUUUUUUUUUUUUAGGCGGAGGAAUAGCUUCAGGGUUUUUUCUCUUUCUAAAAAAGCUUAAUUACUUUUUAAUUUUUUUAAUGAAUUUUAAGUUUUAAAAUAUAUUUUAUUUUAUUUAAAGUCGCGUGGUUCUAUAUCAUUGGAUGUGUGGCACACAUGUGCCACAUCAAUAAUUUAACAAAAAAUUUGAUGGAAGCUAAUGGUAUGGAC